rnacentral:lncRNA from 1 species
CGCAAAUUGAAAAUAAAAGUAAGUUGGUUGUGUCGCAGGCAAACAAAGGUAGGAAGCGCGUGACAUUCGAGCCAGGAGAUUAGGUUUGGGUGCACCUUAGGAAGGAGCGAUUUUCAGAGCAAAGGAAGUCCAAGUUGCAACCGAGGGGCGAUGGACCAUUUCAAGUCAUUGAAAAGAUAAAUGAUAAUGCAUACAAGUUGGACCUUCCAGGUGAGUAUAAUGUUUCGACUACUUUUUAUGUAUCUGAUCUCUCUCUAUUUGAUGCAGAUUCAGAUUCGAGGACGAAUUCUUUUCAAGAGGGAGGGGAUGAUAUGACCCGGGAGUCGAGCCCGACGAAGGUAAGUGCGAGAUGAGAUCCGUUGAUAGUCGAUGGUGGACUAAUGACGCGAUCAAGGGCAAAGCAAGUGAAACAAGCGAUGAGAUUGCUCAUUCAAGAGACCUUUCAUGGAACUAUGUUCGGGACUCAAAAUGGAGCAACUUUCAUGUUCGGGUCGAAUGCCAAAUCAAUUUGGAUCAAUUUGUUAUCAAGCGACGAAACUGGAGGCUAAAAACAAGCCUGUGCGACCGCACAGGCUAAAAUACCAUGCGACCGCAUAGGUGCUUACCGAAACUUAAAGGAGCCAACCGGAUUGAACCAUGCGACCGCAUGCCAAAAAUUUGGCGAAUUUUUUAAUUUUGGCAAUUUUCCAUAUUUUUUUAGUUUUUGAUUUUUUUCCAUAUUUUGGGGAUUGUGAUCGACUUUUG